CGCCACGGCCAUACCAGCCUGGGUAUGCCCGAUCUCGUCUGAUCUCGUAGCGAAGCAGGGUCGGGCCUGGUUAGUACUUGGAUGGGAGACCGCCUGGGAGUACCAGGUGCUGUAAGGA
rnacentral:rRNA from 1 species